rfam:Perkinsus marinus ATCC 50983 gcontig_1104296600492, whole genome shotgun sequence.
GACAGCGUGUCCGAGUGGUUAAGGAGAUGGACUUGAAAUCCAUUUGGCUCUGCCUGCGCAGGUUCGAAUCCUGCCGUUGUCG